rnacentral:rRNA from 1 species
GACGAACGCUGGCGGCGUGCUUAACACAUGCAAGUCGAACGGAAAGGCCCUGCUUUUGUGGGGUGCUCGAGUGGCGAACGGGUGAGUAACACGUGAGUAACCUGCCCUUGACUUUGGGAUAACUUCAGGAAACUGGGGCUAAUACCGGAUAGGAGCUCCUGCUGCAUGGUGGGGGUUGGAAAGUUUCGGCGGUUGGGGAUGGACUCGCGGCUUAUCAGCUUGUUGGUGGGGUAGUGGCUUACCAAGGCUUUGACGGGUAGCCGGCCUGAGAGGGUGACCGGCAACAUUGGGACUAAGAUACGGCCCAGACUCCUACGGGAGGCAACAGUGGGGAAUAUUGCACAAUGGGCGGAAGCCUGAUGCAGCAACGCCGCGUGCGGGAUGACGGCCUUCGGGUUGUAAACCGCUUUCGCCUGUGACGAAGCGUGAGUGACGGUAAUGGGUAAAGAAGCACCGGCUAACUACGUG